rnacentral:rRNA from 1 species
ACGACUGCUGCUAAGACUGGAUAGGAAGAUAAAAGGCAUCUUGUAUCUUUUAAAAGACCUAGUUAAUAGGUAUGCUUUAGGAGGGGCUUGCGCCAUAUUAGUUAGUUGGUAGGGUAAUGGCCUACCAAGACGAUGAUGUGUAGCUGGACUGAGAGGUUGAACAGCCACAUUGGGACUGAGACACGGCCCAAACUCCUACGGGAGGCAGCAGUAGGGAAUUUUCGGCAAUGGAGGAAACUCUGACCGAGCAACGCCGCGUGAAUGACGAAGUACUUCGGUAUGUAAAGUUCUUUUAUCGAGGAAGAAAAGCAAAUGGCGAACCAUUUGUUUGCCGGUACUUGAUGAAUAAGCCCCGGCUAAUUAUGUGCCAGCAGCCGCGGUAAGACAUAAGGGGCAAGUGUUAUCCGGAAUUAUUGGGCGUAAAGGGUGCGUAGGCGGUCUAGUAAGUCAGUGGUGUAAUGUCAACGCUUAACGUUGUCCGGCUAUUGAAACUGCUAAACUUGAGUUAGAUAGAGGCGAGUGGAAUUCCAUGUGUAGCGGUAAAAUGCGUAAAUAUAUGGAGGAACACCAGAGGCGUAGGCGGCUCGCUGGGUCUUAACUGACGCUGAGGCACGAAAGCGUGGGGAGCAAACAGGAUUAGAUACCCUGGUAGUCCACGCCGUAAACGAUGAGUACUAAGUGUCGGGUUAAACCGGUACUGAAGUUAACACAUUAAGUACUCCGCCUGAGUAGUACGUACGCAAGUAUGAAACUUAAAGGAAUUGACGGGACUCCGCACAAGCGGUGGAUCAUGUUGUUUAAUUCGAAGAUACCCGAAAAACCUUACCAGGUCUUGACAUGUUUUUGCAAAAUGAUAGUAAUAUCGUGGAGGUUACCAGAAACACAGGUGGUGCAUGGUUGUCGUCAGCUCGUGUCGUGAGAUGUUAGGUUAAGUCCUAAAACGAGCGAAACCCUUAUCGUUAGUUGCCAGCACGUUAUGGUGGGGACUUUAACGAGACUGCCAAUGAUAAAUUGGAGGAAGGUGAGGAUCACGUCAAAUCAGCAUGCCCCUUAUGACCUGGGCUACAAACGUGAUACAAUGGCUGUUACAAAGGGUAGCUGAAACGCAAGUUCUUGGCCAAUCCCCAAAAACAGUCCCAGUCCGGAUUGAAGUCUGCAACUCGACUUCAUGAAGUUGGAAUCGCUAGUAAUCGCGAAUCAGCAUGUCGCGGUGAAUACGUUCUCGGGGUUUGUACACACCGCCCGUCA